UCUCCGUUGGUGAACCAGCGGAGGGAUCAUUACCGAGUUUACAACUCCCAAACCCAAUGUGAACCAUACCAAACUGUUGCCUCGGCGGGGUCACGCCCCGGGUGCGUCGCAGCCCCGGAACCAGGCGCCCGCCAGAGGGACCAACCAAACUCUUUCUGUAGUCCCCUCGCGGACGUUAUUUUUACAGCUCUGAGCAAAAAUUCAAAAUGGAUCAGAACUUUCAACAACGGAUCUCUUGGUUCUG
rnacentral:misc_RNA from 1 species